UUUGGCAGUUAACUAAUUAAUGAGCACCUGAGCCCAAUAAAAUGUUCCCAGAUUUCAGGGGAGAAUGCUCCUGGAGAGAGGAGGCUUCUCAGGGAAAGAGCCCUUGAAAAACAGAGCAGGAGAACUCCCAAGAAGGACCUCACUGGGGAUAGUACGCACACCUUUACCUGGGGAUAAUGCUUGUUACCUCCUGAUAGAAAAACACUCUAUAAGAGGCGUUGGUGUCAAGCCAGGUUCUAUCACUCUCCUAAAGGCUAGUGGCAGCCUGACCAUGUGACCCUGUUGCUGCUGCAAUUAAAAAUAGCAAAAUGUGCAGAAUGCAGCUGUAUUUUUCAUCUUCUUGCAGAUUGCCUGGGAUUUCACAAAUUCUACACGCACUCUUGCUCCACAUACCAAAGUCCCCCUCUCCUCCAAGCUGUGCAUUUGCUUUGCUCGGGUGCACAAGUUGCAGGGCAAUUGAGAACCAGGCUUCAGACUUUCUGACCUGUAUGAUUCCAGGACUGAAGACCAAGUGUUCUAUUCAGGCAGCAUAGACUUCCUUGUUCCGAAUGUUGUACCAGGAGGAGAAGACAGCGUGGGGCAGUGGAAGCUGAGCUUGAGUUUUCAAACUCCUGCAGUCUCUGCACAGUGACUGCAAUGGUGGUGAAAAGACGUUCUUUUCACUUCUCUGAGCUGAAUGUUCUUGGCUUUUGUGGUUCUCUCUCAUUUUGGUUUUGCUGGGAAAAAGAACAUGACAGUUUUACUCAGA